rnacentral:rRNA from 1 species
UGGUGUUCGGGUUGUCAUGCCAAUGGCACUGCCCGGUAGCUAAAUGCGGAAGAGAUAAGUGCUGAAAGCAUCUAAGCACGAAACUUGCCCCGAGAUGAGUUCUCCCUGACCCUUUAAGGGUCCUGAAGGAACGUUGAAGACGACGACGUUGAUAGGCCGGGUGUGUAAGCGCAGCGAUGCGUUGAGCUAACCGGUACUAAUGAACCGUGAGGCUUAACCUUACAACGCCGAAG